GUGUCAGCAGCCGCGGUAACACGUAGGGAGCAAGCGUUGUCCGGAUUUAUUGGGCGUAAAGAGCUCGUAGGCUGUUCGAUAAGUCGGGUGUGAAACCUCCAGGCUCAACCUGGAGACGCCACCCGAUACUGUCAUGACUAGAGUCCGGUAGGGGAGCGUGGAAUUCCUGGUGUAGCGGUGAAAUGCGCAGAUAUCAGGAGGAACACCAGCGGCGAAGGCGGCGCUCUGGGCCGGUACUGACGCUGAGGAGCGAAAGCGUGGGUAGCAAACAGGAUUAGAUACCCCCGUAGUCC
rnacentral:rRNA from 1 species